UUUGAGGAUUAAAUCAGAUUUGGUAGAGUGCCUCCUGUGUGCUAGGCACUGGGGAAUCAUGUUAGCCUCUAAUUUACAAAUGUUCAUUCCUUCCUUGAUUCUGUGAUGUGACAUGUUAGUCAUGCUUGCCUGUGGGUACUUGAAUGUGUUUGGAACUCAGGAGUACUGGGUUGAGAAAUUGCUGUGCAGACUCAUGACACUAUAUUAAUGUCACAUAUUAAUGACACUUUGCAUUUUUGUCUUAUGAUUAUUCUCAUCCUACAAAUACAGAGAUUACAUUAUAGCCAGGUUGGCCCUGAGAGUUCCCUAGGCGACUAGACCCUGGCCUCAUGUUUCCUGCCUCCAGGCUAACCUUCCUUUAAAUGGCUGUUUUUCUCUACAAGGUAGUUGAGUUCUUCCACUGGAAGCCCUGAAUAGGAAUUCUGGUGCCAGAUUCCAUGCCAAAGUGAUGCCUUAUCUUCUGAAUGUUUCUGAUACUCUUGUUCUACAAAAGUGACAAUACCAGAAUCCUGAAGACCUUGUUUAUGCCUCAAGAGAUUAGGUGUCAGCAGGAUAAUUCCCAGGGGUCAACAGCUAGUUCCUGGGAGACCUCCAUAUUUAAACUUGAUGACAGUACCAAUGCCUAUUCCUUACAAAGACAGUAUUGCAGAACGGUACUUUGA
rnacentral:lncRNA from 1 species